UACGUAGGGUGCAAGCGUUGUCCGGAAUUAUUGGGCGUAAAGAGCUCGUAGGCGGUUUGUCGCGUCUGCUGUGAAAGUUCGGGGCCCAACCACGGAACUGCAGUGGGUACGGGCAGACUAGAGUGCGGUAGAGGAGACUGGAAUUCCUGGUGUAGCGGUGGAAUGCGCAGAUAUCAGGAGGAACACCAGUGGCGAAGGCGGGUCUCUGGGCCGCAACUGACGCUGAGGGGCGAAAGCGUGGGGAGCGAACAGG
rnacentral:rRNA from 1 species